ACUAACCAGGUGUAUUUGCAUUUAGAUUUUUCGUGUCUAUGGGGUUAUGAAUUUAGUAACGGUUAGGU
rnacentral:tRNA from 1 species